CCUACGGGAGGCAGCAGUGAGGAAUAUUGGUCAAUGGACGAGAGUCUGAACCAGCCAAGUAGCGUGAAGGAUGACUGCCCUAUGGGUUGUAAACUUCUUUUAUAUGGGAAUAAAAUGUUCCACGUGUGGGAUUUUGUAUGUACCAUAUGAAUAAGGAUAGGCUAACUCCGUGCCAGCAGCCGCGGUAAUACGGAGGAUACGAGCGUUAUCCGGAUUUAUUGGGUUUAAAGGGAGCGUAGGUGGAUUGUUAAGUCAGUUGUGAAAGUUUGCGGCUCAACCGUAAAAUUGCAGUUGAAACUGGCAGUCUUGAGUACAGUAGAGGUGGGCGGAAUUCGUGGUGUAGCGGUGAAAUGCUUAGAUAUCACGAAGAACUCCGAUUGCGAAGGCAGUUCACUGGACUGCAACUGACACUGAGGCUCGAAAGUGUGGGUAUCAAACAGGAUUAGAUACCCCGGUAGUC
rnacentral:rRNA from 1 species